rnacentral:piRNA from 1 species
UAGGGGCCCUAGUGUUGCAAGUUGGC